rnacentral:ncRNA from 2 species
GAAUAGAUUGGAAACUGUGAUUGAUCAUUUUUAUUUGGGCACUUAAAUGAUCAGGAGUGAGUAGUGCAACCCGCCAAUUUAUAU